CAGCCGCCGCGUUAAUACGUAGGGUGCAAGCGUUAAUCGGAAUUACUGGGCGUAAAGCGUGCGCAGGCGGUUAUAUAAGACAGAUGUGAAAUCCCCGGGCUCAACCUGGGAACUGCAUUUGUGACUGUAUAGCUAGAGUACGGCAGAGGGGGAUGGAAUUCCGCGUGUAGCAGUGAAAUGCGUAGAUAUGCGGAGGAACACCGAUGGCGAAGGCAAUCCCCUGGGCCUGUACUGACGCUCAUGCACGAAAGCGUGGGGAGCAAACAGGAUUAGAUACCCGCGUAGUCCCUGUCUCUUAUAC
rnacentral:rRNA from 1 species